rnacentral:rRNA from 1 species
CGGGGGGAGCAAGCGUUGUUCGGAUUUACUGGGCGUAAAGGGCGCGUAGGCGGCCACCGCAAGUCGACUGUGAAAUCUCCGGGCUUAACUCGGAAAGGUCAGCCGACACUGCGGGGCUAGAGUGCAGAAGGGGCAACUGGAAUUCUCGGUGUAGCGGUGAAAUGCGUAGAUAUCGAGAGGAACACCUGCGGCGAAGGCGGGUUGCUGGGCUGACACUGACGCUGAGGCGCGAAAGCUAGGGGAGCGAACGGGAUUAGAUACCCCGGUAGUCCUAGCCUUAAACGAUGAAUGCUUGGUGUCUGGGGUUUUAUAGUCCCCGGGUGCCGUCGCUAACGCUUUAAGCAUUCCGCCUGGGGAGUACGGUCGCAAGACUG